rnacentral:rRNA from 1 species
AGCGAACGCUGGCGGUAGGCCUAACACAUGCAAGUCGAACGGAUCCUUCGGGAUUAGUGGCGGACGGGUGAGUAACACGUGGGAACGUGCCCUUUGGUUCGGAACAACUCAGGGAAACUUGAGCUAAUACCGGAUGUGCCCUUCGGGGGAAAGAUUUAUCGCCAUUGGAGCGGCCCGCGUCUGAUUAGCUAGUUGGUGAGGUAACGGCCCACCAAGGCGACGAUCAGUAGCUGGUCUGAGAGGAUGAUCAGCCACACUGGGACUGAGACACGGCCCAGACUCCUACGGGAGGCAGCAGUGGGGAAUCUUGCGCAAUGGGCGAAAGCCUGACGCAGCCAUGCCGCGUGAAUGAUGAAGGUCUUAGGAUUGUAAAAUUCUUUCAGCGGGGACGAUAAUGACGGUACCCGCAGAAGAAGCCCCGGCUAACUUCGUG